rnacentral:rRNA from 1 species
GAGUUUGAUCCUGGCUCAGGAUGAACGCUAGCGGCAGGCCUAACACAUGCAAGUCGAACGGUAACAGCACUUCGGUGGCUGACGAGUGGCGCACGGGUGAGUAACGCGUAUGCAACCUACCUUUCACAGUGGGAUAGCCCAGAGAAAUUUGGAUUAAUACCGCAUAGUAUGCAGGACCAGCAUUGGAUCUGUAUUAAACAUUUAUGGGUGAGAGAUGGGCAUGCGUUCUAUUAGUUAGUUGGAGUGGUAACGGCACCCCAAGACAGCGAUAGAUAGGGGCCCUGAGAGGGGGAUCCCCCACACUGGUACUGAGACACGAACCAGACUCCUACGGGAGGCAGCAGUGAGGAAUAUUGGACAAUGGGCGCAAGCCUGAUCCAGCCAUGCCGCGUGCAGGAAGACGGCCCUGUGGGUUGUAAACUGCUUUUAUACAGGAAGAAACACCCCGACGUGUCGGGGCUUGACGGUACUGUAGGAAUAAGGAUCGGCUAACUCCGUGCCAGCAGCCGCGGUAAUACGGAGGAUCCAAGCGUUAUCCGGAAUCAUUGGGUUUAAAGGGUCCGUAGGUGGACGAUUAAGUCAGAGGUGAAAUCCUGCAGCUCAACUGUAGAAUUGCCUUUGAAACUGGUUGUCUUGGAUCAUUGUGAAGUGGUUAGAAUAUGUGGUGUAGCGGUGAUAUGCAUAGAUAUCACAUAGAAUACCGAUUGCGAAGGCAGAUCACUAACAAUGUAUUGACACUGAUGGACGAAAGCGUGGGGAGCGAACAGGAUUAGAUACCCUGGUAGUCCACGCCGUAAACGAUGGAUACUAGCUGUACGGACUUCGGUCUGUGUGGCUAAGCGAAAGUGAUAAGUAUCCCACCUGGGGAGUACGUUCGCAAGAAUGAAACUCAAAGGAAUUGACGG